CGACACCUACGGGGGGCAGCAGUGGGGAAUAUUGGGCAAUGGGCGCAAGCCUGACCCAGCAACGCCGCGUGAGGGAUGACGGCCCUACGGGUUGUAAACCUCUUUUGCCGGGGAGCAACGGGCGCCACGUGUGGCGCCACUGAGAGUACCCGGAGAAAAAGCAUCGGCUAACUCCGUGCCAGCAGCCGCGGUAAUACGGAGGAUGCGAGCGUUAUCCGGAUUUAUUGGGUUUAAAGGGUGCGUAGGCGGAUCGUUAAGUCAGUGGUCAAAUUGAGGGGCUCAACCCCUUCC
rnacentral:rRNA from 1 species